rnacentral:tRNA from 1 species
GCUGGUGUGAUGUUUAACGGUUAGCAUCCCUGUCUUCCAAACAGGUUGUGCGGGUUCGAAUCCCGCUACCAGUU